rnacentral:rRNA from 1 species
GAUGAACGCUGGCGGCGUGCCUAAUACAUGCAAGUCGAGCGAACGGACGAGAAUCUUGCUUCUCUGAUGUUAGCGGCGGACGGGUGAGUAACACGUGGAUAACCUACCUAUAAUACUGGGAUAACUUCGGGAAACCGUAGCUAAUACCGGAUAAUAUUUUGAACCGCAUGGUUCAAAAGUGAAAGACGGUCUUUCUGUCACUUAUAGAUGGAUCCGCGCUGCAUUAGCUAGUUGGUAAGGUAACGGCUUACCAAGGCAACGAUGCAUAGCCGACCUGAGAGGGUGAUCGGCCACACUGGAACUGAGACACGGUCCAGACUCCUACGGGAGGCAGCAGUAGGGAAUCUUCCGCAAUGGGCGAAAGCCUGACGGAGCAACGCCGCGUGAGUGAUGAAGGUCUUCGGAUCGUAAAACUCUGUUAUUAGGGAAGAACAUAUGUGUAAGUAACUGUGCACAUCUUGACGGUACCUAAUCAGAAAGCCACGGCUAACUACGUG